rnacentral:lncRNA from 1 species
GCGGCGGGCAGGGCCUCCCAAGCCCGGCUGUCCUCGGCCCGUGCGCGGCGCCCGGAGUCCCACUCCUCCCGAUGCUGUCCCCCGCGCCCGGAGGCCGAGCCAAUUCUCUGGGAAGUUCCCGGCUUGGGAGCGGAGCGGCCGGUCGGAAGAACCUCGGGUGCUGGCGCGCCUGAAGUUGCAGACCAGACUGAAAUGUGCGAGACAUGUGCCUUUUUCUUAGGAAAGGCCCCAGGUACCAGAAAGGUUUUCAGCGCGCCGACCUACGGGGCUAAGAGGGCUGAAAUAAGAACCAGUGACUGAGCGCCGGGAGGUUUAAGGUUUAUGGAAGAUGUUCAUCGCGCCGUACCCUACUAGAGGUUUGGGGACGUGGGACACAGCCCCUGCGUUCCCGCCGCGGACCCCGUGAUAAAUACACAGACACACAAAAUCACUACCGCCUUGAAUCUGGACAGCUACCUCAGGUGGUUAAUAUCUAACAGGAGCAGAGUGGAGCUCAGAAAGACUCAGCGUGGGUGCUGGGUUCCGGCGCGACCAGCCUGAUACCUAGGUCAGCAUCUCAGCCACACAAGCAGGCGGCAGUUCUGUCAGGAAUUACUACAUCUGGUGAUUCCACUUCUCAUAGCUCACCGCUGGGAGAAUAAUUCCUCAGGAUUAACAAGAUCUAUUCCAGAGGAUCCUCACUGCUGAAGCGAUUUUAGAAGACAGUGUGGUCUGUUGACAGUAUGGAAUAUUCUUUACCCAUCAGAUAUGAUCUGUAUGUGAUUGGAAGGAAAUAAACCAACUGCUAACAACACUUCUCUAUAGAUGUUCAGAUUCAGUAAUUUUUGUAUUUUUCUCUACACUUUUGUUUUUUCAAAUUUCCUAGCACAAGAAGACUUUGACUUACUGCACAUGUCAUUUUAAAUGACCUUUAUAAAGACUCUAUAGAAACAAUUUGCUAUGUCAUGAAAGUAACAAUCAAAAAAAGUAUGCACAUUGUGGCCACAAAGUAAAACUUGUGUGGAAGGUAAUGUGCAAAAAA